GCAGUAGCCGCGGUAAUACGAAGGGGGCUAGCGUUGUUCGGAAUUACUGGGCGUAAAGCGCACGUAGGCGGAUAUUUAAGUCAGGGGUGAAAUCCCAGAGCUCAACUCUGGAACUGCCUUUGAUACUGGGUAUCUAGAGUAUGGAAGAGGUGAGUGGAAUUCCGAGUGUAGAGGUGAAAUUCGUAGAUAUUCGGAGGAACACCAGUGGCGAGGGCGGCUCACUGGUCCAUUACUGACGCUGAGGUGCGAAAGCGUGGGGAGCAAACAGGAUUAGAUACCCGUGUAGUCCCUGUCUCUUAUAC
rnacentral:rRNA from 1 species